rnacentral:rRNA from 1 species
AUACGGAGGGUGCAAGCGUUAAUCGGAAUUACUGGGCGUAAAGCGCACGCAGGCGGUUUGUUAAGUCAGAUGUGAAAUCCCCGGGCUCAACCUGGGAACUGCAUCUGAUACUGGCAAGCUUGAGUCUCGUAGAGGGGGGUAGAAUUCCAGGUGUAGCGGGGAAAUGCGUAGAGAUCUGGAGGAAUACCGGUGGGGAAGGCGGCCCCUUGGACGAAGCCGGACGUCCGGUUCCGAAAGCGGGGGGAGCAAACAGGAUUAGACCCCCUGGUAGCCCACGCCGUAAACGAUGUCGACUUGGAGGUUGUGCCCUUGAGGCGUGGCUUCCGGAGCUAACGCGUUAAGUCGACCGCCUGGGGAGUACGGCCGCAAGGUUAAAACUCAAAUGAAUUGACGGGG